rnacentral:rRNA from 1 species
GAGUUUGAUCCUGGCUCAGGACGAACGCUGGCGGCGUGCCUAAUACAUGCAAGUCGAGCGGACAGAAGGGAGCUUGCUCCCGGAAGUCAGCGGCGGACGGGUGAGUAACACGUGGGCAACCUGUCCUGCAGAUUGGGAUAACUCCGGGAAACCGGGGCUAAUACCGAAUAACAUUGGAAACCUCAUGGUUUCCUUUUAAAAGGCGGCUUCGGCUGUCACUGCAGGAUGGGCCCGCGGCGCAUUAGCUAGUUGGUGAGGUAACGGCUCACCAAGGCGACGAUGCGUAGCCGACCUGAGAGGGUGAUCGGCCACACUGGGACUGAGACACGGCCCAGACUCCUACGGGAGGCAGCAGUAGGGAAUCUUCCGCAAUGGACGAAAGUCUGACGGAGCAACGCCGCGUGAGUGAAGAAGGUUUUCGGAUCGUAAAACUCUGUUGUUAGGGAAGAACAAGUACGGUAGUAACUGCCCGUACCUUGACGGUACCUGACCAGAAAGCCACGGCUAACUACGUGCCAGCAGCCGCCGUAAC